rnacentral:rRNA from 1 species
CCCUUAGAUGUUCUGGGCCGCACGCGCGCUACACUGACGAAUGCAACGAGCUUAUAACCUUGGCCGAAAGGUCUGGGUAAUCUCCAAAUUUCGUCGUGAUGGGGAUAGAUUAUUGCAAUUAUUAAUCUUCAACGAGGAAUGCCUAGUAGGCGCAAGUCAUGAGCUUGCGUUGAUUACGUCCCUGCCCUUUGUACACACCGCCCGUCGCUCCUACCGAUUGAAUGGUCCGGUGAAGCGUUCGGACCGUGGCCUUUGGACGGUUCGCCGUCUGUUGGCUGCGGGAAGUUCGUUAAACCUUAUCAUUUAGAGGAAGGAGAAGUCGUAACA